UAAAAUACAAAGUAGUACCACACAACAUCCCAUCAUCUAAACAUUUUAGUAGAAGCCACACUCCUUUUCCUUUCUUCUUAAAUCUUUAGAACCAUCUCUGUCUAAAUACUUUCUUUGUUUCGGUUUAGGUACUAGGCAAGAAUCUGAAAGUACUUUUAUUUGCUUGGAUUAGAAGAAUAAUAAGAAGGUGACUUAUACUAUCGUAAUCCAAGAAAAAAGAGAGGAAAAAUGGAUAUGGACUUUUGGGCUGCAAGAAUAAAUUCAGCUAGGCACCUCUCUGCUGUCCAAACAAACCAUCUCAGGAAUUCUGAUAAUCUCUCAAAUGUGGAUAAUACAGAAGGAGAAGAGGAUGUUCAGGCCUGGUUCCCUUGCCCUUUCUGUUAUGUAGAAAUUGAAGUCCAGAUGCUUUGCAACCAUUUGCAAGAAGAGCAUUGCUUUGACUUUAGAAACGCGGUUUGUCCCAUAUGUGCUGGAAAUUUAGGUAAAGAUCCUCUGGGGCAUUUUACAGUGCAGCAUGCACAAUCAGUAAAGAGGAGGAGAAAAUACCAGAAGUCAGGCUUCUGGAACAAUGCUUCAGCAAUAAGUGGCAAGGACCCCCAUGAAAUAAAUUCAUUCUUGUGCACAAAUUUAAUGGUUGGCCGCUACAAUGUACAAGAACCUGCUCCUGAUCCCCUUCUGCUGCCAUUUCUCUGCAGUACGGCUCAUUCUGAUUCUAAAGAUGGUCUACAAGAUGAGUCUCCUGGUAGUGUUGCUGCUGCUCCUGAUGUAGAAAGGUACCAGUUAAGGAAAUAUGUUUUGAUUUGCCUGCACAUUUAUUCAUUUUCUGUCAGACUUCCUGCAAAUCUAGCAUAAAAUAAACUGGAAUUUCUAUUGUUAAACGUGAAAGAAUAUGGAAGUAAACUUGCAAUUCCUAGUAAAAGAUGUACCUUUCUGUAUUAGUUGUCGCUGGAAUAAACAAAGAAUCUAUGUAGGUGGUGCUCCUUCCCUCUUUUGAGAAACCAAAGCAAGCCAACUUCUUGAGAAACCAAUGCAUGCUAUUCAAAGUAGAUUCAGCUUCAAUUCUGGGGUGUAUCUCCUUUAGUGGCCCAUCAGGUUGAAGUUUGGACUUAUCGUCUUUGGCAUACAAGAAGAUAACCAGAGCCCGAGGGUACUAGUAGCAAAGAAUCCUUAAGUGAGUAAAAGAUGAUCAACUGUGGUGAUGAAAGGGCAGUGAUGGACACCUUAAACAUGAAACAAAGCAACAAGCUGCCCGUAUGUGAUCCAGAUCUGGAAGAACAGUAUGAAGCGAAAAGGCGAAGAGCGGCAUUUAUUCAAGAGCUUAUUGCUUCAACUAUCUUCUAAGACAUGCAUAACCAGAGGGAGGAUUCAACCCAACGAAGAGAACAGCUUUAGACCUUAUGUAUGAGAAUAAUGCUUCACAGAAACAUGUAGGUGCUAUAUGUAUCCCAUUACUAGCUAAAGUCUCGGAAUAUCUAAUAGUAACAUCAUUUAUGGCUAGAAGCUAUUUACACGAAGACAUAUGCACUGCAUAUUAUAUGUCUUGGAUCAAUUUUAGUGCAAAUUGAAAUAUUUUUAUGUCUUAUCAUUUUUACCUCAGGUGCAUAACACACCCACAUUUGCUACUUACAUCCUUCUCGUCCUCUUUAGACAUUUUCCUGAUAUAAAGAUUACAGAUUAAUUUAUAUUCUUUCUCUUAAAAUGUUCUUUUUCAGCAAACAUUAUAAAUUGUCAUUGACUGCCAGGCAACUUAACAGAAGUUGGCAAAUUGGCUUUGACAUAUACGCAUUGAACAAUCUAACAUUUCUCUAAGAGGUGCGGGUUAUUAACUCCUAUAUCUGAGUGCAAAUUGAACCAUUUCCUCUACAGAUAGUGGGGUAUCCACCCCUAUAGCUAUGUUCUAUUCCGAGGAAUAAAAUAAAAAUAGUCUUUUAGAGAGAUGACUGAGCAGCUCAGUUGAUAUGUUGUAAUCUGUUGCACUGAGAGAACAAUAUUCUGGUUCAGUUGGGCAAACUGGAUUGACAGCUUGAACCGCAGCCGAAAGAGUAGACUAAAACAAAAUUCUCCUUUAACGUAGUCAUCAACUUGUUUAGGAAAAUAUAUACACAAGCACACAUUUGUUUAGACAUAAUAUUUUGCGAUAAAAGAACUACCAAUGAAAAGGGCACUUGUAAGUUGUUUGGACAAACUGUUUUAACAGAGAGAGACCAAGCAAUCACUUCCUUUUCAUUUUC